rnacentral:rRNA from 1 species
GACGUAGGGCGCGAGCGUUGUCCGGAUUUAUUGGGCGUAAAGAGCUCGUAGGCGGCUUGUCGCGUCGUCCGUGAAAACCUGCAGCUCAACUGCAGGCUUGCGGUCGAUACGGGCAGGCUAGAGUUCGGUAGGGGAGACUGGAAUUCCUGGUGUAGCGGUGAAAUGCGCAGAUAUCAGGAGGAACACCGGUGGCGAAGGCGAGUCCCUGGACGAUACCUGACACUGAGGCACGAAAGCCGGGGGAGCAAACAGG